GACGAACCGUGCGAACGUUGUUCGGAAUCACUGGGCUUAAAGGGCGCGUAGGCCGGCUCUCAAGUCCGGGGUGAGAUCCUCCAGCCCAACUGGAGAAGCGCCUUGGAUACUGGGGGCCUCGAGGGGGGUAGGGGCGUGCGGAACUUCCGGUGGAGCGGUGAAAUGCGUAGAUAUCGGAAGGAACACCGGUGGCGAAAGCGGCGCGCUGGACCCCUUCUGACGCUGAGGCGCGAAAGCCAGGGGAGCAAACGGG
rnacentral:rRNA from 1 species